GGACAGCAGGCCACUGCAGAGUAACAAGUGCCGCAGAGUAGUGUGUGUGUGUGUGCUUUCGCUCCAACUGGCAGACGACUGAACCGACUGACUUCGUGGAGGUUUUGGGCGCGAAUUAGCAAUUACUGUUCAUUUCUCUAGAGCAGAUUUCUCCUAGCAACCGGAUAGGUUAUCCCAACCGCAGGUUCAUUCAAGCACCAUGGCAAACACUGGUGUAACAAAGAUGGCCGCCCUGAUCCUCAUCACGUGUCUAAUCCAUUGCGCACACUCAGUGCCUGCCCAGGGCCUACGGGAAAGGAGAGAGGCUGAUCAGACGAGACAAACUCAGGAAGCGGAAUCCGGACGCGCCAGACGGAACGUGGAACUCAAGAUGCCGUGGGUGAUGGACUCAUUGACCCAGAAAGUUCAGGCCGAACGAAAAAAUGACAUCCUGCGAAACAUCAUCGAGAACGAGAACAUGUUUGCCAGGGUCGGCCGAAAGUGAAAAAGGGCUAGUGAGAACUGACGUUUGGUCACUUGCAUGGAAUCAUCUGCCGCCAAGUUCGGUUUUGUUCUUGAUACCGAUUCGUGAGAACUGGAUGCACAGUGGAUGAGCUUUAUUUCAAAGUCUUCGGUUCAUUUAUUUAUCUUCUGGAGGUUUUCUGAGUGUGUAGGACAUUUCCGCUGAAUUUGGUUUAUUUACUUAUUUUGCGCAAUUUACCGCUUUCAUUUUAAACAAUAUUCGGGGAAAAAUACAUCUUAAAAAACUCUGACUCACCUAACUCAAGCGGAACACUUCAGACGAGUAUGGCCUUGCAAAGGCCAUUUUGUCUAGUUUCCAGACUGCCACAUAGUUUUCACUGUGGAAAGUGAGAGUGCACAUCGUACAUUUCCGAUGCGAUAGCUCAAUAAAAAUGCGGGACUGUCUUGAAGCUGAAACUACAGGUUUAUGCGCAAAAUUCAAAUGAAUGGAAAUUACGUGGUCAGUUUGAGAUAAUAGCAACUCUUGACUUCUUAUUCGAUUGUACAAUGUUCAUUUUAGACGCAGCACCAUUCACUUUUAGUUUAAGCUUCCAUUGCAAAAUGUACCGUGGCCUUUCAUUAAGAGUAAUAUUUACUGCCUUGAACGUGUUUAAAUUGGAGCAAAAUGAUGCUUUUAACGUGCAAAGGCCAGACUUUCUGCAUGCUCUCCCGUGGUAAUGGAUAUCAAUCACCAGAUUUGGUAGUAAAACUUUGCCGUCUUUUAAGCCAAAGAGUUCAUGACACUUCAUGCCGUAACUAAGGGUAUGGUUCAAACACCUGCUUACCUCGCCUUUGUCUUUUUUGUGUGUUUGCUUGUUUGAGAUGAAAGGCCAUUAGGCGUAUAGAAACAUCGGUGAAAUGUCACUAGCAUUUUUCACCACCAAACACUGCGAGAUGUGCGUUUCAUUUUUUAUAUAGCAAGGUAGCCAAUAAAUGAAUUUCUUGGCAAUGUCAGGCUGUGCUCAGAA